rnacentral:rRNA from 1 species
AGGAUAAACGCUGGCGGCGUGCCUAACACAUGCAAGUCGAACGCGCUUGCUAUCCGCGAGGACGGUGAGCGAGUGGCGGACGGGUGAGGAACACGUGGGUGACCUACCUUUCAGUGAGGGAUACCGGCGAGAAAUUGCCGACAAGACCGCAUACGCUUCUCUUUUCAAGGGGAGAAGGAAAGCUUUUCGCAAGAGAGGCGCUGGGAGAUGGGCCUGCGGCCGAUUAGCUAGCUGGUGGGGUAAUGGCCUACCAGGGCGACGAUCGGUAGCUGGUCUGAGAGGACGAUCAGCCACACUGGGAUUGAGAACGGCCCAGACUCCUACGGGGGGCAGCAGUGAGGAAUUUUCGGCAAUGGGGGCAACCCUGACCGAGCAACGCCGCGUGCAGGACGACGGCCUUCGGGUUGUAAACUGCUUUUCUCUGGGACGAGAGCGGACGGUACCAGAGGAAGAAGCCCGGCUAACUACGUGCCAGCAGCCGCGGU